GGGUUGGGAUGUAGAAGGACCAGUAAAUCAAAAGCUUCGCCUUCUGGCUCAGCUCCGUCUUCACCACGACGGUCCGACACAGCGCCCGCAUCACUGCAUGCACCAAACCACCGAUUCUCUUUCUUUUCAGCAGUGGCCAAAAGCAAGAUGACCUCUACCUGCAACACUAGCUUUUGUUAACUUGAAGCCACGCUGCAGCUCAUCAGGCAGACCACACACGGAGUGCGGAGGAAGCCCACUGCUGAAAAAGAAAUAGAGAGGAUGAAGAGGCAAAGGGGAGAGGAGUUAACAGUCUUGUUAUCACAGAGGGUGAAAAAUGAAAUGGUGAGUAGUUUUUUCCGCCAUAAAAACUCAUAAUGUAUGUACACCACCUCCCCUCAGUGUUAAACAUGUUAUCCUUUGCAUCUCUCAUCUUCGGCUGCUGUCCUCUCUCUCACAAUGUUGCUGUUAAAGUGAGUUUGGUUUAUUUUCUUUUUAUAUGGAGUUUCCAUCAUGCUCCACUCCCUCUGUGGUUCCAGCGCGGCUGGCCAAAUGGCAAUAAAAUGCUCAAAGGACAUCAGAGAGGGAGAAGGAGACCUAUUUGUUAGCCUAACAAAAUCUCAAGUAGUUAAAUAGGCAGUCAACAUGUGAGAAAAAAAGGAGCUUCAGUGCUGUUGUUCGGAGUAAGACAAGUGGCCGAACAACAGCCGCAGAGAAGCAGCUAACCAGUGUCUGUGUCAGUGAAGGAGAGUCAGUAGUCAGUCAACCAACCUUUGACAUCUCAUCUUUAUUUAUGUUGUGGGAGGCUUCUUUUUAUGUACAAGGCCAUCUAAAAGUACUGGAAAUAUGCACAAUACAAGAAAAUAAACACAUUAAAAAACAAGAACAUAACUCAAAUAAAAGCAGCUUCGGUCAAAUAAAAAAAUGCAUGCAAAGUCAUCAUAAAAACAAAAAGCACUUUCAACUGCUGUGUUUGCUAAAAUUAUGGCUUUAAGAUGCAAGUGGAAUGAGUGAGUCUAUGUGAAGAUUUUCCUGCACUCUGUUCCAUUUGGAUGUGAAUGAAAACUGAAAGCAGAUUUUCCUUGUUUUAUUGUGGUUUCUGGGGACUUUGAGAACUAAAUGGUCCUGACAAAUCUAUGUCAGUGUGCGCCCUCUGUCUCUGCCUCACUCCUGUCAACGUGGAAGACUUAUUUUCUGAAUGUGAGUUAAAAUGGUCCAGUCUACCACCUGAGAUACAACAGGAAACUUCAGGUCUUAUUUCACAAAUGUGCAUUAAAUAUGGAUUUCAUAGUCUUGUAUUUCAAUCCAAGACAAAUGCACAGGCAGGAAAGCCAGCGCUUAACUGACUUACAGCGAAGAUUUAUAUGUAUAAAUACAUGUUACAAAGUUGUCCUCAGAAGGACAGUUAAGGAUACUGCUGCCAGUAUUCCAGAGAUGUGGACUCGAGUCACAUGACUUGGACUUGAGUCACAGAAAAGAUGACUUUAGACUGGACUUGCCAAAAUCAAAAACAAAUUGCAUCUUGACUUGGACUUUAACACCAGUGACUCAUGACUUAAUUUGGAGUUGACUUUUGACUUAAAAACACUUGAUACCUUACUCCAGGCCAAUUUAGGAAGAGAAAGUUAUAGAUGUUCCUCCAAUAUGAGAAUACAACAAGACAAAUACAUACAAAACUUAUUCUGUUGUAGUAGGCUGCUGGUUAAUAGUGUUGUUAUGUGUUGUGUGUUGUUAUGUUUAGUACUUGAAACUCAAAGCUUAGAACUAGGGACUUGGGACUUGUCAGACUUGACUUGAGACUUGACUGAGGAUUUGCGUAUCUUGAGUUGGGACUUAAAUGCAAAAACUUGAGACUUGGUUGUGACUUGCAAAACAAUGACUUGGUUCCAUCUCUGCAAUAUUCAAUUCAAACAAACAAAUCCCAUGAAAAGACUUAAAUCAACAAUGUUGUUGGUUCCUCCAGAACACCUCAUUAGAGGCAGAACAACAACUCUGUUGAAGGUUGGUGAAAAAUUUGGUGAAAAGUUGACAUCAUAGAUACAGAAACAUGCCGGAUCAAAAUAAAUGUUUGAUUAAUGGUAACAAAUAUUUUAGUAAUGCACAUAUUGCAUGUUUUUUUUGCUCAUGUGUAAUUUGUAAUAAGGUAUUAACUGUAACUGUUAGUUGCUGUCCACAUAGUGAGCUUGAUUAGUUAGAAAAGUUAUUUAUUAGCAUUAGUCAGAUAAAUUAUUACUUAGUAGUUUUAGUUGAUGAACUUGUGCAGCAACAAGUGUGGGACAAAAUCACUUCAAACUGUUAUCAACCCUCUAAUCAGUAAAAUACAACACAUCUUUGUAGCGCUCAUGUUGUUUCCACAUUACAACUUAAAGCUCAUGAACACACCAAAGACCUUCUGAGGAGUACAUGAAGGCAUCAUUUGUUAUUCAUUGAUGAGUUUUCAGUUAUUUUUAGACAAUAAUGGAGGAGGGAAAUCAGCUGUAUCAGAACAGAAAAUACUUGUAGAAUCAAUUAAUUGUUGGUUUUGGUGUAUUCAUAGGGUUUAUUGAAAAGAAAUAUAUAGAAUAUCACCAGAUGGUUUUAAUCCUCAUCAUCUUUUCUUUCUUGUCAUUUUCUCAGCCUGACAUCUGAAUACACUGUCAUCCAGUUCUUCAUUUCAGCUCUGCCUUUGGUUUACGAUGGGGGUCAGUAGAGUCAACCAUCCCUGCUCAGUGACCCGGUCGCAGUCUGGGUCAUCACACAGCUCUGGAGGUUAAAUAGCUGUAAGAACACUCGUUAAUCUGCAAGCACUUGGUGAAACUGGCCUUAAUCUCCCUCUGGACUGUCCUGUCUCCCCUCACGGCACGGGCAGCCGUGCCCGAGAAUAGGCAUGUAAACCAUGUAGGCCUGACACCAGUUGUUUUGACUGAGAGCACUGAGGCACUGACUAAUAUUGUGCAACACAAGGCAGGGCCUUUAGCCCUAUAAGCUAUAACGAUGAAAUCCCAGCUGUAAACUCACCCCUCCCUCCUCCAGAACAGAUCUUUUCCAGGAUGGAAUUUGGAGGCAUUUUUUCUCUUGAAAGGUGCAGUUAAUCAUAUCAGAAAAUUCUGAUACACACAGCAGAGGGUGUAUUUCUCAGCAUUGUUACAGUAUUCCUUGAGAAAUCCACACCCAUUAGAGUCAAUGUGGUAAUGUGAUAGUGUUGAGCAGGCAUCCAGAGCCGUAUCAGCGCUGUGAACAGACAAACAACGCUCCAGUCACCACUUACAUUGCUCUUACAUUUUCACUGUAAAGUCAAUAGGGAUAUAAAGCUACUAAAUAGUUUUUAAUUGGCACUCGAGAUAUCUAAAGUGGCACUUUACAUAUUGUCCAAGCAGGGUAUAAUAAGGGCCAUGAAUGAAAUAGGAAUACAGCUUAAACCAGAUGUGGGUAAAAAAAAAAAAAAAAAUAAUAA